ensembl:lncRNA
CUUGGGUCUGAAGAGCGUUUUCCCACAUGACCCUGGCCGAAGAGGCAAUUUAGCUAGGUCGUCUCUGUUACUGAAACAUCUCCAAGGCAUUUGUUUCAACCCUUCUGAUCUAAGUAUACAACUGCGUAUUUCUACACUGAAAAAUAGAACCCGGGCUAGGACUAUCGAUUUUGUGAAAGUGAGCUGCAUGUUUCUGUUGGACAGCAUUGUUAUCAAGCAUAAGGCAAUUUUUUGAGAACCACAUGCCCAUGAGGAUAGACCAUUAACAUGCUGCUGUUAUUGUUCAGUUGCUAAGUCAUCUCCAACUCUUUGUGACCCCAUGGAUUGUAGCCCGCCAGGCUCCUCUGUCCAUGGGAUUUCCCAGGUAAGAAUUCUAGAAUGGGUUGCCAUUUCCUCUCCAGGAAAUCUUCCUGGACUAGGA